GAGUCAGUAAGAGUAGACCCGAAACCGGGUGAUCUACCCAUGUCCAGGCUGAAGCUGCCGUAAGAGGUAGUGGAGGGCCGAACGCACAUCCGUUGAAAAGGGUGGCGAUGAGGUGUGGGUAGGGGAGAAAUUCCAAUCGAACCCGGAGAUAGCUGGUUCUCCUCGAAAUAGCUUUAGGGCUAGCCUCGAUGGAGUCUUACGGAGGUAGAGCACUGAAUUUCUAAGGGGGCGUCAAAGCUUACCAAGGGAUAUCAAACUCCGAAUGCCGUAAAGAUGCUCAUCGGGAGUCAGACUGCACGAGAUAAGUUGGGCAGUCAAAAGGGAAAGAGCCCAGACCUGCUGCUAAGGUCCCAAAGUACGUGUUAAGUGGAAAAGGAUGUGGGAUUUCGAAGACAACUAGGAUGUUGGCUCAGAAGCAGCCACACAUUCAAAGAGUGCGUAAUAGCUCACUAGUCGAGAGGUCCUGCGCCGAAAAUGUCCGGGGCUGAAACACGACACCGAAGCACAGGAUACCGCAAGGUAUGGUAGAGGAGCAUUGCUGGCGCGAUGAAGCAGUACCGGAAGGAGCUGUGGAGUGCCAGGAAGAGAGAAUGCCGGAAUGAGUAGCGAGAGAGAGGUGGGAAUCCUCUCGGCCGAAUAUCCAAGGUUUCCAGGGUAAAGCUGAUCUGCCCUGGGUAAGUCGGGGCCUAAGGAGAGGCAGAAAUGCGUAUCCGAUGGACAGCAGGUUGAGAUUCCUGCACUAUCUUAAAACAGAACUGUGGGGACAUUUGUGGAGAGCACAGGCGCGGAACGGAAAGCCGCGUGCAAGCGAAGGAGGAGUCACAUAGGAAAAACCGUGUGGCAAUCCAAAGGCGUGAUGCGGACCGAACGAAAGUAGGGAAGUGUGUGAGCCAUGAAUCAAGAAAAGCCGCUAUUGUUUUUAAGAUACCCGUACCGUAAACCGACACAGGUGGAUGAGGAGAGAAUCCUAAGGCCGGCGGAAGAAGCAUUGUUAAGGAACUCGGCAAAAUGACCCCGUAACUUCGGGAGAAGGGGUGCCAACGAGAGUUGGCCGCAGAGAAUAGGCUCAAGCAACUGUUUAGCAAAAACACAGGUCUAUGCAAAACCGUAAGGUGAGGUAUAUGGGCUGACGCCUGCCCGGUGCUGGAAGGUUAAGAGGAGAGGUUAGCGCAAGCGAAGCUUUGAAUUUAAGCCCCAGUAAACGGCGGCCGUAACUAUAACGGUCCUAAGGUAGCGAAAUUCCUUGUCGGGUAAGUUCCGACCCGCACGAAAGGCGUAAUGAUUUGAGCGCUGUCUCGACAAUGCAUCCGGUGAAAUUGAAGUACCAGUGAAGAUGCUGGUUACCCGCGCCAGGACGGAAAGACCCCAUGGAGCUUUACUCCAGUUUGGUACUGGGGUCCGGCAGUGCAUGUACAGGAUAGGUGGGAGGCUGUGAACCUGGAACGCCAGUUUCAGGGGAGCCGGUGUUGGGAUACCACCCUUGUGCUGCUGGGCUUCUAACCAGCGGCCUUUAUCAGGCCGGGGGACAAUGCCAGACGGGGAGUUUGACUGGGGCGGUCGCCUCCGAAAGGGUAUCGGAGGCGCUCAAAGGUUCCCUCAGAAUGGUCGGAAACCAUUCGAAGAGUGCAAAGGCAGAAGGGAGCUUGACUGCGACACCGACGGGUGGAGCAGGUACGAAAGUAGGACUUAGUGAUCCGGUGGUAUUAAGUGGGAAUGCCAUCGCUCAACGGAUAAAAGCUACCCUGGGGAUAACAGGCUUAUCACUCCCAAGAGUUCACAUCGACGGAGUGGUUUGGCACCUCGAUGUCGGCUCAUCGCAUCCUGGGGCUGUAGUAGGUCCCAAGGGUUGGGCUGUUCGCCCAUUAAAGCGGUACGCGAGCUGGGUUCAGAACGUCGUGAGACAGUUCGGUCCCUAUCCGGCGUGGGCGUAGGAUAUUUGAGAGGAGCUGUCCUUAGUACGAGAGGACCGGGAUGGACUGACCUCUGGUGUACCGGUUGAACCGCCAGGUUCACGGCCGGGUAGCCAAGUCGGGAAGGGAUAAACGCUGAAGGCAUCUAAGCGUGAAGCCCCCCUCAAGAUGAGAUAUCCCAUUCGAAAGAAGUAAGACCCCUUGAAGACGACGAGGUAGAUAGGGCAGG
rnacentral:rRNA from 1 species